rnacentral:rRNA from 1 species
GACGAACGCUGGCGGCGUGCUUAACACAUGCCAGUCGUACGGUAAGGCCCUUUCUGGGGUACACGAGUGGCGAACGGGUGAGUAACACGUGAGUAACCUGCCCACAACUUUGGGAUAACGCUAGGAAACUGGUGCUAAUACUGGAUAUGUGCUCCUGCUGCAUGGUGGGGGUUGGAAAGCUCCGGCGGUUGUGGAUGGACUCGCGGCCUAGCCGCUUGUUGGUGGGGUAGUGGCCUACCAAGGCGGCGACGGGUAGCCGGCCUGAGAGGGUGACCGGCCACAGUGGGACUGAGAUACGGCCCAGACUCCUACGGGAGGCAGCAGUGGGGAAUAUUGCACAAUGGGCGCAAGCCUGAUGCAGCAACGCCGCGUGCGGGAUGACGGCCUUCGGGUUGUAAACCGCUUUCAGCAGGGACGAAGCUUUUUGUGACGGUACCUGCAGAAGAAGCACCGGCUAACUACGU